UGCGGCUUAAUUUGACUCAACACGGGAAAACUCACCUGGCCCGGACACCGUGAGGAUUGACAGAUUGAGAGCUCUUUCUUGAUUCGGUUUCGAUAUUUUUGUUAUAUAGCACUUUUAAAUUGUGGUUUGGCUCGCUGCA
rnacentral:ncRNA from 1 species